GAUUAACGCUGGCGGCGUGCAUAACACAUGCAAGUCGAACGAAGGGGCGGACGGGUGAGUAGCGCGUGAGUAACCUGCCUUAGAGAAGGGGAUAGCAUUUGGAAACGAAAAAUAAUACCCUAUGCUCACAGAGGGACUUGCGUCUGAUUAGUUAGUUGGUGGGGUAACGGCCUACCAAGACAGCGAUCAGUAUCUGGCUUGAGAGAGCGUACUUCCACCUUGGGAGUGGGACACGGCCAAGACUCGACGUGAGGCAGCAGUGGGGAAUUUUGCACAAUGGGGGAAACCCGGAUGCAGCGACGCUGCGUGAUUUUGAAGGCCUUCGGGUUGUAAAAAUCGUUUCUAUGGGAAGCAGUACCAUAGGAAUAAGGACCGGCUAACUACGUGCCAGCAGCCGCGGUAAUAC
rnacentral:rRNA from 1 species